CCGAGUUUCCAAAACUCCCAACCCAUGUGAACCUACCUCACGUUGCCUCGGCGGGAUCGCCCCGGGUGCCCCCUCGCGGGGCCCCGGACCCAGGCGCCCGCCGCGGGACCCCUCAACUCCUGUUUUUGCGGAAGCAUCUUCUGAGUGAGACAGACAAAUAAAUCA
rnacentral:misc_RNA from 1 species